CAAUAGCGUAUAUUUAAGUUGCUGCAGUUAAAAAGCUCGUAGUUGGAUUUCGGGUGGGAAUGGCCGGUCCGCCGUUUCGGUGUGCACUUGCUACGCCCACCUUGCUGCCGGGGACGUGCUCUUGAGUUCACGCUCGGGACACGGAGUCGGCGAGGUUACUUUGAGUAAAUUAGAGUGUUCAAAGCAGGCCUACGCUCUGAAUACAUUAGCAUGGAAUAACACGAUAGGACUCUGGCCUAUCUUGUUGGUCUGUAGGACCGGAGUAAUGAUUAAGAGGGACAGUCGGGGGCAUUCGUAUUUCAUUGUCAGAGGUGAAAUUCUUGGAUUUAUGAAAGACGAACUACUGCGAAAGCAGUUGCCAAGGAUGUUUUCAUUAA
rnacentral:rRNA from 1 species